CCUGCCGGACUCACUGCUAUCGGGAUGAGACUAAGCCAUGCGAGUUGUGCGCUCUAAGCUAUGGUGGAGGAGCAGCAUACGGCUCAGUAAAACAUGGUUAACUUGCCCUAGAGACGGAGAAAUCCCCGGGAAACUGGGGCUAAUCCCCGAUAGCCAAAAAUAUCUGGAACCGGUAUUUUGGCUAAAGGGCGUUGAAACCACGCUUUUCAAUGUCGCUCUAGGAUAGGACCAUGCCCGAUCAGGCAGUUGGUGAGGUAACGGCCCACCAAACCUAUAACCGGUACGGGCCGUGAGAGCGGGAGCCCGGAGAUGGACCCUGAGACAAGGGUCCAGGCCCUACGGGGCGCAGCAGGCGCGAAACCUCCGCAAUGCGCGAAAGCGUGACGGGGUUACCCCGAGUGUCGUCUGCUGAAGGCGACUUUUCUUCGGUCUAAAAAGCCGGAGGUAAUAAGGGGAGGGCAAGCCUGGUGUCAGCCGCCGCGGUAAUACCAGCUCCCCGAGUGGUGAGGACGAUUACUGGGCCUAAAGCGUCCGUAGCCGGCUCUGCAAGUUUCCCGUUAAAUCCGGCGAUCCAAUCGUCGGUCUGCGGGAAAUACUGCUGAGCUGGGAGGCGGGAGAGGCCGGCAGUGCUUCUGGGGUAGGGGUGAAAUCCUAUAAUCCUAGAAGGACUACCAGUGGCGAAGGCGGCCGGCCAGAACGUGCUCGACGGUGAGGGGCGAAAGCUGGGGGAGCGAACCGGAUUAGAUACCCGGGUAGUCCCAGCUGUAAACGAUGCGGGCUAAGUGUCGGAAUAGCUAUAAUGCCAUUCCGGUGCUGCAGGGAAGCCGUUAAGCCCGCCGCCUGGGGAGUACGGCCGCAAGGUUGAAACUUAAAGGAAUUGGCGGGGGAGCACCACAAGGGGUGAAGCUUGCGGUUCAAUUGGAGUCAACGCCGGA
rnacentral:rRNA from 1 species